CUGCAAUGAUGCACUACUUAGGACACCUUUGGAUUAAUAAUGAAAACAACUACUCUCUGAGCAGC